GGGGAACGGCCCCGCCGAGGGGCGGGCUGAGGGAACCGGGGAGCUCUGAGGGACUGCGGGGAACGAGCUGAGGGACAGGCGGGACGGGUGAAGACGAGCUGAGGGAACCGGGGAGCUCUGAGGGACUGCGGGGAACGAGCUGAGGGACAGGCGGGACGGGUGAAGACGAGCUGAGGGAACCGGGGAGCUCUGAGGGACUGCGGGGAACGAGCUGAGGGAACUGGAACUUGAGCUGAGGGACAGGGAAGGAACGAGCUGAGGGAACUGGAACUUGAAUUGAGGGACAGGGAGGGAAGGAGCUGAGGGAACCGCAAAGGCCGGUCUGGGGCGGACUGAGGGAACCGGGAGAGCUCUGAGGGACAGGGGGGAACGAGCUGAGGGCACCGGGGCGGCUCUGAGGGGUCGGUGCCAGGUGAGGGCUGAGGGGAAGCCCGGCCAAUGCAGGUGCUGAGCCCCAGCUCGUGUGGGUGGGCGAGCAGAGAGGACCGAUACCCUUCCAGUGAGGGAAAACGGAGAGAUUUUGGGGGGACAGUGGAGAAAAUGCUGGAAAAGUAGUUGGAGUGUCCACGGGAGGCAAAAGAGAAGAAACGCUUAAACUCUGUUAGGCUGCAGUGGCAGGAGGAUGGGGUGGUUGUGGUGAAGAUACAUGUGGAGUUUUUCUGUUUGCUUUUAGGUUUCUCACUCCAAGGACAGUGAUGUGGAGGUAUUGGAGGCACUGGAGGGUUGAAAAGGAUGCAGGGAAGAACAAGAACAAAUCGAGGAUCCUUGCUGUGCCUAGGCUCUAGACCUGCUUAAGUGCAUAUGUGUGACCCUCCAUGGUUUUCCUGGCGUCUUCCAGGAGAGAUCCCACGUCCAUUCCUCAGUCCUGAUUUUGUGAGAUCACCUGCAGCACUCAGGGAGUUGAGCGACAAGAAAAGGAUUUCGCAUUCGCGCGUUGCUGGGCUUUGGAAUUUUCUCCCUGGAUUUCAGUUCGUUUUUCGCGUUUGCAAUACCAGGCUGAGCUCGUGCAAGCUGAGCUGCCCCUUCAUUCUUCACUGGCUCCCAUGGGAGCAGGGUGUGGAUUGAGGGUUCUUUUCCCUCCACUCCUUUCAUCCACGAGGUCUAACGGGAGGAAGAGUCAGGUGUCAAUAACUGUCCUCUUCUCCUGUUGAUUUGAUCCAAUGGACUGACAUGCAGGGGAGACUCAGAUGAAAGUUGCAUCUGAGGAGUGUUUGUGCUCAUAGCUGAGGAAACUUCCCAAAGCUGCCUUCCUCAUUAUCCACCAAAGUCCUCCUGCUGUUCCACAUACUAAUUCCAGAGGGUGGAAUUAAUGCUUUCAUAUGGCAAAGGCUAACUGUAACUUGCUUCACACUGAAAACACAGAGGGAGAAGGUAUUUCACUAAACCAUCACCAGUGGACAUCACAACAGGAAGAAAAUGACAACCACGGGGUGCGAUUCCUUCCCCGGCUGAUGCGGCUCUGAGCAUCCAGAGCCAGCCGAAGGCAGCAGCGGUGCAGUCGCUGUGACAGUGCGAGGGCAGAAGCUCUGGACGGUAGAGGAUGCUAGAGAAGAGGGCCAAGCAGCAUCCAGGAGCUUUCUCCUGCUAUCCUGGGAACGUGCUGGGUGUCUCCAUGGGCUGGGAGGAGUAAAAACAGGAUCCACUGGGAAUUUUUAGCACUUUGAGUUGCUGAGAACUGAUGGAAGGCGACGAGCGGGCGAUAAAGUCCCUGUUCCCAGGCAGGUUGUCUUUCCUCCUGUAAUUAAUUCAGCCCCAACCCAAACUGCUGAGGCUCUCGAGGAGUUAAGAUACAACAAUGGUGGCACUUACACUGUUCCAGUGGAUUCUAAAAGGGCUUAUCUUGACUUUUCUGCUGAAAACUACUCUGUCCCUAAAUCCAGAUGAUCCAAAUGUUUGUAGUCAUUGGGAAAGCUAUGCUGUGACAGUGCAGGAAUCUUAUGCUCACCCCUUUGAUCAGAUCUAUUACACACGAUGCACAGACAUCCUCAACUGGUUCAAGUGCACCAGACACAGGAUCAGUUAUAAAACCGCCUAUCGGAGGGGGCUGAGGACGAUGUACCGGCGGAGAUCCCAGUGCUGCCCGGGCUACUACGAGAGCGGAGACUACUGCAUCCCUCUGUGCACGGAGGAGUGUGUGCAUGGGAGGUGUGUCUCUCCUGACACGUGUCACUGUGAACCAGGAUGGGGAGGCACUGAUUGCUCCAGUGGCUGCGACAGCGAGCACUGGGGGCCCCACUGCAGCAACCGCUGCCAGUGCCAGAACGACGCGCUCUGCAACCCCAUCACGGGCGCCUGUGUCUGCGCCGACGGGUUCCGCGGCUGGCGCUGCGAGGAGCUCUGCGAGCCCGGCACCUACGGCAAGGCCUGCCAGCUCCAGUGCCAGUGCCACCACGGGGCCACCUGCGACCACCAGACCGGAGAGUGCCACUGCGCGCCCGGAUACACCGGAGUCUUCUGUGAGGAGCUGUGUCCCCCCGGCAGCCACGGAGCCCAGUGCGAGCUGCGCUGCCCCUGCCAGAACGGGGGCGUCUGUCACCACAUCACCGGGGAGUGCUCCUGUCCCGCGGGAUGGACGGGGCUGGUGUGUGCACAGCCAUGUCCUCCUGGAACCUUUGGAAUCAACUGCAGCCAGGACUGUCCGUGCCACAACGGAGGACACUGUGACCCCGUGACAGGAAAAUGCAUCUGCACAGCUGGCUAUAUAGGAGACAGGUGCCAGGAGGAGUGUCCCAUCGGGACAUAUGGCUUCCAGUGCUCACAAACCUGCGACUGCCAGAACGGGGCCAAGUGCUACCACGUCAAUGGAGCCUGCAUCUGUGACCCCGGCUUUAAAGGGAUUUACUGCCAAGAAAGGAUGUGUCCAGAAGGGUUUUAUGGCCUCAAAUGCAACAAGAGAUGUCCUUGCAAUAUUACCAACACCCUCAGCUGCCACCCCCUGUCUGGAGAGUGCAGCUGCAAGGCUGGCUGGGCUGGGCUCUACUGCAACGAGACGUGUCCCCCGGGGUCCUACGGCGAGGGCUGUGCCCUGGCCUGCCCCUGCCACAACGGGGCCGACUGUGACAGCGUCACCGGGGCCUGCUCCUGUGCCCCCGGCUACAUGGGAGAGGACUGCACCAUUACCUGCAUGGCAGGAACCUACGGAACCAAUUGCUCCUCAGUUUGUAACUGCAAGAACGACGGUGCCUGUUCCCCUGUGGACGGGCUGUGCUACUGCAAAGAAGGCUGGCAAGGAGUGGAUUGCUCUAUUCCAUGUUCAAGUGGAAGUUGGGGUCUGAACUGUAACCAGACGUGUUCCUGCACCAACGGAGCUGCCUGCAGGCCAGCAGACGGCUUCUGCCUCUGCUCCCCGGGAUGGCAGGGGGAGUUCUGUGAGCAGCCCUGCCCUGAUGGAACAUAUGGUCUUAAUUGCAGUGAGCGUUGUGACUGUAACCACGCCGAUGGGUGUGACCCUGUCACUGGGUACUGCUGCUGCCUCGCAGGCUGGACAGGCAUCCACUGUGACAACAUCUGCACCCAGGGCCGCUGGGGCCCCAACUGCUCCAUCUCGUGCAGCUGUGAGAACGGGGGAUCCUGCUCCCCAGAGGAUGGCACCUGCGACUGCGCCCCGGGAUACAGGGGACCCUUGUGCCAGAGAAUUUGCCCCCCUGGUUUUUAUGGACACCACUGUGGCCAGCCCUGCCCCCAGUGUGUGCACAGCAAUGGUCCUUGUCACCACGUGUCGGGACACUGCGACUGCCUGCCUGGAUUCUUUGGCCCUCUCUGCAACCAAGUGUGUCCCAGUGGGAAAUACGGGAAGGACUGUGCCGAGGUGUGUCAGUGCACCGAGAACGGGACGUGCAAUCCCAUCGACGGAUCCUGCCAGUGCUUCCCAGGCUGGAUAGGCAUGGACUGCUCUCAGACCUGUCCCAGUGGGUUUUGGGGCCCUGACUGCUUUCAUUCCUGCAACUGCCACAACGGAGCACUGUGCAGCCCCUACGAUGGAGAGUGUCGAUGUACCCACGGCUGGACGGGGCUCUUCUGCACUCAGCGUUGCCCAGCUGCUUUUUAUGGAAAGAACUGUGCCAACGUGUGUCAGUGUCAGAACGGAGCCGACUGUGACCACAUCACCGGGCAGUGCACGUGCAGGACUGGAUUUACAGGCAAACAGUGCGAGCAGAAGUGCUCACCAGGAACGUUUGGUUAUGGUUGCAAACAACUUUGUGAGUGCAUGAAUAAUGCUACAUGUGACCAUGUCACAGGGACCUGCUACUGCAGCCCAGGCUUCAAAGGAAUCCGGUGUGAUCAAGCGGCUCUUAUGAUGGAAGAAUUAAACCCCUAUACUAAAAUUAGCCCUGCUCUUGGAUCAGAGAGGCACUCAGUGGGAGCAAUCAUUGGAAUUAUUAUUCUCCUUCUAAUUAUUAUGGUCUUGCUGGCACUGUUUGUGUGGUAUCGACGGAAACAGAAGGAGAAGGGCCAUGACAUGCCAAGUGUAUCUUACACUCCAGCCAUGAGGAUGACUAAUACAGAUUACUCACUUUCUGAUGUAUCUCAAGGUAGCGGCAGUGUACACUGCUUUUCCAAUCCCAGCUACCACACUCUCUCAUGUGGUGUGACCUCACGCUUCUUUCCCAGUAAUCUGGAUGGAAACAGCUCCAGUAAGCUCAGUAACAAAGUCCUUGACAGAGAAACUGCAGACUGGAGACCCUACAGCUAUCUGAAUGAACUAGGUGCUUGUGGGAUGGAUAGACGUCAGAACACAUACAUAAUGGAAAAAAGCUUCAAAGACAGCGGGGGCAGCUGGGAUUGCAGCUAUUUUGCAAGUCCCACUAUUUCACCGGGAGUAUUUCAUAUAUACCAGGAUCUGCCUUUGUACUGUAACCCAGCACAAGAAAAUGCCUCAUCUUUCAUUGCAUCGCUCUAAUUCUAAAUUACUGGCACUGCCCAGCAGGAUGCACACGGCAGCAAUGAUUAUAUGAAAGAGUCUGUGUGCAGCUCCAGCACUUGUUCCCUGAACAGCAGUGAAAACCCCUACGCCACCAUUAAAGACCCCCCCAUUUUAACCUGCAAACACUCCGAGAGCAGCUACGUGGAAAUGAAAUCGCCUGGUCACAGGGAGUCCCCGUAUUCCGAAAUGCCAACUUCAUCCACAGCCAAUAAAAACAUCUACGAAGUUGAGCCCACUGUCAGCAUAGUCCAAGAUGGCCGCAGUCGGAGUGCCAGUUACCUCCAGAAUCCAUACGACCUUCCCAGGAACAGCCACAUUCCUGGGCACUACGACCUCCUCCCCGUCCGGCACAGCCCGACACACGGGCCCUCUUGGGACAAGCAGUCUUAAAGGGAUGGACUCCACUGUGCUGCCAACACAAACUGAGGAAGCAGAGGAGAAGCCAAUCCUUUUCCACGCUGUGGGAUGCUGACGGAUGUGGACUGGCUUACGCAAGGACCUGACGUGACACAACAUCAGCUUGGGCCAACUGCUGCUGCAUGAUGUUAUUUAUAAAGACAUUUUUAUAUGGGUAACUGGAACUAACAGAACCUCCUCCACGUGUGGCUGGAGUACAUCACCCCAGGAAGGUGUCCACGUGCUCCAGGCAAAAACUCUCCGUGGCUUGUAUUCUAACCCUGGCUUUGCUGUAAAAUAAACCACAAACACAUGCUAAGUAGAAGGACUUAAAGAUGUACAUUUUUACCAACUGCAUCAAGAAAUCUUUUACCUUUAGGAACAAGGUGACUGGGAAUGCACUGGAAUUGAUUUUCAUCUUUGUCAUGGGAAUGGACAUUUUUCUGAACGAGAGCAGGGAAACUUGUCAUUUCACUGUCAGGACACCUCAUUUACUGCCACCACCAUGUGCAGCCUGUGCAGAUCAUGCUCGGUAAUUAGCACUGGGAUUUUCAUCUUUACACUCAGUACCAGAGGGUUUGAGUUGAGGAAUAUUAACACAGACACCUUCUGUGCCGUUUUUUAAAUCUUUCCAAAAGUCCCCUGAUCUUUGCUAAUGACCAUUUCCACAAUGAGCCUCCCACCCACUUUACCACACUUCUGAUUGGCACAGAUGGGCUUUAAUUUUCCUUAUACAGCUUCUCUUUUGUUGGCUAAAUCCAGCAGAUCUGUCAGGCCUGUAACCUGCUGCACCUCCCUUUCCUGCCCUGGGACACUGCAGGUCUGCACAGACCAGCCCUGGUUUCAUUUCCUUUCCCAAAGCUGAGCCACAACAGCUUCUCUCUCCCAUCUUUUCAAACCAUCUCCUCAUGGUUCACUUGUCAGCAUGCCACUGAUGACCCCCUUUAAUUUGAUGGGCAUUACCAUGUAGUGCAACGUUAUCCUUUGGUGAUUCUACCUGAAAUGUCAUUAAAUGGAGCUGAAACUGGGUUUUCUUUUUCA